AUAAAUGCAAUGAUAAAAGAGUAGUAGAGCGGUCGUAAUCUCAGAGACGAGCACAUUUAGUGGAAGUGUUCGGGUUACUUAGUUUGAAUUCACUUUUUGAGCAGAGAUCGGGCGUUAGUUGCUAACAAAUGGUCUUCCGGUUAAUGACCGUUAAACAAUUACCAAGUGUACUUUUAAUAAAGUAAACAAGGGUGGUACCGCGAAAGCUUCGUCCCUUUU
rnacentral:ncRNA from 1 species